GCGGCACCGCAGAAGUGCUCGUUGUUCUCCCGCAGGCUGACUUGCCAUGGAAACUCCCCUCUGGAUGCUUCCGAGCCUCCUACUAUCCUGGAGGCAGUCUGCAUGGCAGGACGGACCCCACAGCCUGAAAGGCAGGAGAGAGCUCGUGCAAGUGCAGUGGACUCCUGCAGCUGGACCCUGUCCCAGGGAGAACCAGGCACAGGUUGCAAAGGUCUCUCUGUGACAAGUGGGAAAAUCUGCUUCAGCUCAGUGCAGGCUCCCAGCACACGCCCAAGCAUCGGGGCAUUGCUAGGGCUGUUACAGGAGAGCAGGCUUUACCCUGCAACCCUGGAAAGAGCUUGCAAAUCACUGACCCAUCAUGAGAUUGUCCAAAACCCCUUAAAGCAAUUCCAGUCAUGAGAGAAAGGUCUCAGGUAGUAUCCCAAACCCAGCCACUGCCUCCUGAGCUGCUCCCAGAAGCCUGUGGACAGACAAAGCUUGUGCAGCACUCCAGCCCACCAGGAGCUUACGGGCUAGUCCCUGGACCUGCAUCCCUGUCAGCACCUGCAGUAGGGUCAUCCUGGACAUCGCUGGUGUCCUGGCUUCCCCAGGUUCAUGCCUAGGGGAUUGACAAUAUUACAAAGGCAGUGUGAGGGUCUCUCUGCCUCCAGCGGUGAUGGUGGAAGAUGCCUGCAGGGCAUUGGGUCUCUGCACUCUACCUUUACUCUUGUCUUUUCCAGUUAUUGCCUUGAUGAUGCUGUCUGUGGCCAAGCCAUAUCUCAGCUGUGCUUAUCAAGACCCAAAGAAAGUCUGAGCUCCAGACUGCCAGGGUGGAUUGAGAUUACCUGUUUUCAGCCCAGCUGUAACUGAGCCUUCCAGAGAUAGAUGGGCGCUUGGGGCCUCCGUGCUUUGUUAACAGUAUCGGCACGUGACAAUUCGGCUCUUGCUGAGAGCAGACAGGUUUUGGAGUCGCUGGCUCUGUCGUGGUAUUCAGAUGCUGAAGGUAGAAGCUCAAAAUCUGAUCUACCUAGGCUGACCAGUGCAAGAGGCAAUACUCAGCGGCAUUGCUACCAUUGCACUUAACAGCAAGGACAACAGCACCAGAGAAAAAUUAACCUCACAGGCAAAACUGGCUGUGGCUGGCUGUUCAUUUAGACGACACAAGCCAGAUCGAACUAAUCUUGGCUGCAUUUAAAAAGUCAAACUACGGUAAAGGAUACUUGGGACACUAACAAGAAGCUCAUAUUAUUGUUUACAUUGCUUUGAACAUCAGAGAAAAGGAGUUGUAGCAUAUUGCUUUUCUGACAUCUGAACAGGGUUUUUUGUAGAUAAUAUCACCCUUUUUUCAAGGCCUGACUCAUGCUUUUUGUAGAGUAAACAGACCUGAUAGAUUUUUGAGCUUUUUUCAAAUGAGUGAUACUUAGAAGAUGAUUUUGAGAUGUCAGUGUGAUGCCUCUGUGAAAAAGACACCAUAAAAUAUAGCAAGCAUAGUAUUUCCGAUACAGGUAGGAAAGCAUUAAUGUAUAAAGGUGAGGUGGGCUCUUACACUAUAUUCAGUUCUAAUCGCCUAUAUUCCAUAUUAAAAUUUAAGCCAUAACAGAUGAAAAGAUAACUAGGAUGACAUGGUAAAUGCAAAGCCUAUCUUACAAGAGCAAACUAGAGACUGGAAAUUUUUUAGGCUCACAAGAUCAGGACCAUCUCUAAAUACAUAAUGGAGCUGAGCAACAAAGAAUUCUAUAUAUGUUGAUAAAAAUUGCAUUAAGAGAUGAGCAAAAAGUAAAUUUUGUUGGCGGGGCAGAAAUCAGAAGAGUUUUAGCAGUCAGAGAAAUGUAAUUUUCAGUAGGGACAUUGAGAAGAAAAAGCACAUUUAUGGACUUCAUCAGUGUGUAAAUUGUGAGCAGUUAUGAAAUAUGAUGCCUCUGAUUGACAGCAGAGGGGAUAACUCAGUGAUGUAAGAGAGUCCUUCCAGUCCUGUAUCAGUGUAGCUUCUUCUCACUGCUCGACUUAGAAGCCUCUCCUCGGCACAGAAUGUAAGAUGUGCUACAGAGAAAUUCAACAAGAACUGCCUGAUGAAAAUAACCAUCUCUGACUGUCCCUAAAUAUCUGCUGUGAUUCCUGAGACAUGGCCAUAAACUCUGCUCUUUGGCCCCCUUUUGCUCUUCUUUAGCUCGUCUUUUGCUACCCACAUCCCUGUUCCUCGUCUACCGGAGAGCAUCACUUUAGUAUCAGCCCUUCACCAUGAGGACACAAGUCAAGUGUCACCUCUGGUCUGUUGUAAUGAAGUGAGGAAAAGUCACAGCAAAGAAACAGGGCAAAUGUGGAUUCAAAAGUCAACUUAAUUUAGUCUGCAGUAGAUAAUGAACCCCAGAAAACCCUGACGUCCUCAGCUGGCCGAGUCCAGGCUGUCCUGGAGUCUUUGCGCUGCAUUUCUAUAUUCUAGCUUGGUUUUGUUCUUUUUUUUUCCCCCCCCUAACACUGUAAGUAUAAAUAUGUAGUAAGAGCAAUCAAUAUGCUGCAAAUGUUUGAAGAAUCUAGUGUAAAUAAAACAUACCUGCUUUAUCCUGUA